CCUACGGGGGGCAGCAGUGAGGAAUAUUGGUCAAUGGGCGAAAGCCUGAUGGAGCAACGCCGCGUGGGUGAAGAAGGUCUUCGGAUCGUAAAACCCUGUUGUUAGAGAAGAAAGUGCGUGAGAGUAACUGUUCACGUUUCGACGGUAUCUAACCAGAAAGCCACGGCUCACUACGUGCCCGCAGCCGCGGUAAUACGUAGGUGGCAAGCGUUAUCCGGAUUUAUUGGGCGUAAAGGGAACGCAGGCGGUCUUUUAAGUCUGAUGUGAAAUCCUUCGGCUUAACCGGAGUAGUGCAUUGGAAACUGGGAGACUUGAGUGCAGAAGAGGAGAGUGGAACUCCAGGUGUAGCGGUGAAAUGCGUAGAUAUAUGGAAGAACACCAGUGGCGAAGGCGGCUCUCUGGUCUGUAACUGACGCUGAGGUUCGAAAGCGUGGGUAGCAAACAGGAUUAGAUACCCGAGUAGUC
rnacentral:rRNA from 1 species